AUUAAAUUGGAUGUGUCGAACAUUUCCCUUCUUCCAAUUGUUGUUUAAUUAGAGUUCACCGCUAAAAACAUUCAAAUCAACUUUUCAAAAUUUACUAUUUAUUUUCACGUUCUACGAAGAAAGAAAAAAACGAAGAAAAUGGCAUCAUCGAAAAAGUCAAAGAUGCCUGAUGUUAGCAAAGUUCAUGAGAUAAUGAAGCAACUGAAAAUAACAAAGUGUGACAAAGAAGCAGUGAAGACAAUUGCCAAAGAACUGGGCUACAAAACGUUCAACAAGAAAAUUUUGGCUAGUUUGCGUGGCAAAAUGGCAGUUUCCCUCCAAUGGGACAAAGAAUAAUAUCGAGUAAACAUCCACUACUAGAUAUCAACGACGACCGCUUUUUGUACACGGACACAGCCAAUCUGAAUGUAUCAAACAACAACAAAAUCAACGAUUUGCAAGUUGCAAAGAAAGAAGAAGAAGAAGAAGGACAACAACACAGCCAGUUAGCAGCACCAUUCCAACAACAAUUCUCUUUAUGGUCAACAUAAAAAACCAUUUGUCUGUUAGAACAUUCGACUCGGUUUGAACGACUUCUUCGUACAUUUUCUUAAAAACAUACAUCUAUACGAUUGAUUUGAUUUGAAAUUAAAUGAAAAAAAUAAAAAAAAAAUCAUCUAGUUUGUAGGGAUCAUUGUGAUCGUGGAGUAACCUGUCAAUUUGACAUUGAAAUUAAAAUAAAAUCAUUAUGAGAAAAUCCAAAA